UGGGGAAUAUUGGACAAUGGGCGAAAGCCUGAUCCAGCCAUGCCGCGUGCAGGAUGACGGUCCUAUGGAUUGUAAACUGCUUUUUGUACAGGAAGAAACAGUUCUACGUGUAGAACCUUGACGGUACUGUAAGAAUAAGGAUCGGCUAACUCCGUGCCAGCAGCCGCGGUAAUACGGAGGAUCCAAGCGUUAUCCGGAAUCAUUGGGUUUAAAGGGUCCGUAGGCGGUUAGAUAAGUCAGUGGUGAAAGCCCAUCGCUCAACGGUGGAACGGCCAUUGAUACUGUCUGACUUGAAUUAUUAGGAAGUAACUAGAAUAUGUAGUGUAGCGGUGAAAUGCUUAGAGAUUACAUGGAAUACCAAUUGCGAAGGCAGGUUACUACUAAUGGAUUGACGCUGAUGGACGAAAGCGUGGGUAGCGAACAGGAUUAGAUACCCUUGUAGUCCCUGAGCGGGCUGGCAAGGCGCAU
rnacentral:rRNA from 1 species